rnacentral:rRNA from 1 species
ACGGGGGGGGCAAGCGUUGUUCGGAAUUACUGGGCGUAAAGGGCGCGUAGGCGGUUCGCUAAGUUGAAUGUGAAAACUCUGGGCUUAACCCAGAGCCUGCAUCCAAAACUGGCGAACUGGAGUACUGGAGGGGAAAGCGGAAUUCCUGGUGUAGCGGUGAAAUGCGUAGAUAUCAGGAGGAACACCGGUGGCGAAGGCGGGUUGCUGGGCCGACACUGACGCUGAGGCGCGAAAGCUAGGGGAGCGAACGGGA